rnacentral:lncRNA from 1 species
CCCACCCACUCCGCAGUGACACACACCGCUGCUGUCUCAAGGAUUUUUGCUCACAAAGCUGCUGCCCUAGAAGUGGAAGAGCAGCGCGGUUUGGGUCCUAAAUCAAUAAGCAGGCCAGGCUGGGCGGGCGGCAGCCCCAAUGCUCUUCAGGGGCUGCAGCAGAGAGCAUGGAAUUUUCCACCGGUGGGCAGACCCGCACAGCCGCGUCCCAUUGGUGGAGCACGGUGGCGUCGCCCGUGAGGGUGCGGAGCUCCGUGCCAUCAAUAGAUCCUGGAUCAGAUCAGUACCACGGCCCAGGUGGGAACCCACCCCACAGGUCCACUGCGCAGCAAAGAGGUGAAGGAUGAUGGAAGCAGCAAGUGGUCUUUUUGUUUCUCUUAAACGAGAGAGAAACCCCCACAAGGACUGUAAAAUACGUGCAAGAGAGGAGAGGCAGUGUCCAAUCAGCUCGCACGCGCGCGCGCGCACACACAGGGCUACUUAGAGGAAUUUGUGUGGGAGCCAGGCCUGCUACAGCUUUUAAAGCAACCCCGUUUUGAUUCUUAUGGUUUCCCGUGUGUUGUGAAAUCCACCUUAGUGGCCUUCCUUUGGCGAGCUGGAAAUGUUUGUUGAGUGAAUGAAUGGACUCUGUGACAGCUAGGUAAGUCCUGGCUCAUGGGGUUUUAUUCAUUUGUCAUGUGGCCUUGGACACCUCACGAUUUCUUUGAGCAACUGAGGUUGCAGAAAGUUAAAUGGAGAACUAUUCUCUGACCCAGCAAUCCCAUUUGUAGGCUCUAGGACACGGCAGAACAACCUACAGCAGACCGACAGAGUUCACUCCCAAGUGCCCUCGCAGGGAGGAUGGGUAAACAGAAGUGGGCUCCCGUACACUGGGAUAGUACUCCGCUGUGGAAAGGGAGGGCAUACUGACAUGUGUCAAGCUGACCCUGAAAAGCAUGCCAGGUGCAAUAGGCAGAGGUAUACAGAGGCCAUAGAGAGCCGUGUGCCUGCUGAAUGAGUCUGCUAAGACCCGCACAGCCCGGGUUCCUGAAGUCAGGGUGA